AUUGCGCCCCUGCUACAGAAAAUGCGGGAAAGUUUUGGAUCGCUCUCAGGUCAGUCAGUCAGAGAGAGAUGAUUUCGACGACGACAGCCGAGGGGCAGCUUCCAGAGAGUUCGGUGAGAUCGUUAUUGAAUUUCCUUUUUGCGAGAAGGACGGUGGUGGAAAAAAUCCACGCUUAGGAGCUGGGACCCGACAAGCCCGAAAAAUAUAUAACCCAGCCAACUAAAGAAAUUACAGUAUGACUGUGAAAUUGUUGUCAUUUUCUGACUGUUCAUUUCAAUACUUAUAUUGGACUAAGAAGGGACAUCUAUUAGUACGUCAGCCCCACCGAGAUUUUUUUUCACCAGCCGCCGCUUAAUAUUUAGGUCUAUAAAAACACAUUGCUUGACUGGCGUGAUCGGCCCGAAGCGGCAACCGAGAUCAAAGAAUCCAGUCUGUCCGUGAAAGUUUCCGGAGAUAGUUAACAAGGAUUUUCCCGUAAACGGAAAGAGGGGAUCGAAUCGCUCAGAGUAAAGGCGCGUGGACUAUGGCAGCGGAGCUGAAGCCGCGACUGUGCGUUAUUAAAAAGGCGGACUCUGGGUAUGGCUUCCAUCUGCAUGGAGAGAAGGGCAGAAGCGGCCAGUACAUCCGCAAAGUGGAGCCAGCGUCGCCCGCCGACAUAGCCGGGCUGCGCACCGGGGACCGGGUGCUGGAGGUGAACGGCGACAAUGUGGAGAAGGAGACGCACUACCAGGGGUAGACACGCACGUACAUCGCAUUUCCAAUCGCCUCGCCUGGAUGAGGACCAAGACCAAAUCCCCAGAGGACACGUGGAAGGCACUGGAGGACUAGUUCCCAAGGCAGCUGUGGAGUGAGGUUAACUGGCUGCUAGUGGGCUUCAGACAGCAACUCUGCCUGCCGAGAAACCCGCUCUGCUCCCACUGCCUGAACUGGCACAGCUGUCCCUCUGCACACUGCAUCUCCCCAGGCAGGAGCCCCUGCCCCUCAUCCUCAAGCCUCCUGACCAGAGCAAGGUGAAAGUGGAAUUGCCCCCACCCACUGACAGCUCAGGAACUAUCCUGUUAAGCAUCCAUCUGUUUGUGGGUUUACAUGGCUUUCCAUUGACACACAAUAGCAUCUCAAAACCAGUUCAAGUGUGUGAUUUUGUGAGUGUGUGCCCUACAGUGUACUGGCAGCCCGAACAGUGUGUCUCCUGUCCUGCUCCUUUGUGUUUGUGGAUUAGUCUCCAGACUACAGUUGAAACCAAAGGUUUACAUAUACUGUAUAAAAAGUCAUAUAACUUUUUUUUUCUUACUGUCUGAUAUUAAAUCAUACAAAACCCUUUCA